UUGUAACCAAUUAUGUUGUUCUCGAGGCAAUAAAGUUGCCCUCUGACUCUUGGUUUCCAUUUUAUUAUCUCUCUUCUUUUCACUCUGAAAACCCUAAGACAACUCUCUCUCUCCAUUCUCUUCUAUAAUCCAGUGAUUAUCUUCUCCGACGGCUCCGGCGACGCCAUUGUUGUUACUGUUAAAGCGUAGAUGGUGCAGUGUGUUACUACUUUGUACGGUGAGCCGGCGAUUACGGAGACCGACGUCUUGGGGAUUAGAAUCUCGCCGUUCUUUUGUUUUUGCUCUCCGACGAUACGCCAACUUUUUAAUCAAUUUUUUUUUUCUUGUUUUGCUUUUUAUAUAUUCAGAGUUUUUUUGUCUUCUGGUUCUGAUUCUUCGUCUUCCCACAACCGAUUUGCGUAGAUCUCUUUGUAAAUGUGUUUAUCGAUUCGUAUUUUACUAGUAUCUUACUAAUAAAUCCUAAUUUUAUCUUUUUCUUUUUGUUUUCCAUAACUGUUUCUGUAUCAAAAAAACUUUUCCAUACUAAAUUCGGUUCUGGUUCUUCGUCUUCCCACAUGGGGACCCCUUAGAUCUCUCUUUCGAUGCAUAAACUGAUUCGUCUUUUACAUAUUUUUUAGAUCUCUAUUUUAUAUUCAUAUAUCUUUAUACUCCUUCAUAUCUUUUUAUAGAUCUGUAUUUCUUCAUCCUAGAUCUGCAUGGUCCUUCACAUAUUUUUAUAGAUAUGUAUUUCAUAUUUAUAGAUCUGCAUGGUUGUUCACAAGUUUUUUUAGAUCGUUUUUUUCCUUUGUAGAUCUCAAACCGGACUCUGUUUUGGUGCAUGAAUCUCCGCAGGAACAUGGAAAAUGUCGAUCUGCCUUCCUUUCUGCUAGGGAGUUUAAGCAAAGACCCACGAAGAAGGCGAAGAGGACCUGCAUGCGUUACCGUGGGCUUGGGCAUAAUCGAGGGACAUGCAAGACGCCUAUAUAAACAAGUACCUAUGUAUGUUAAAUAAGCUGUCCCUUUUGAAUGUGUAAAAACAGCUCGGCGGUUUAAGUUGGAAUGGGAAUCGGAAGAAAUCAAGUGGCCAAUUUUCUUUGUAAAAUAUUAGUGCCGUAUGUUAAAGACUUGCUAAUGCUUUGUUAAAUGUUGUUGAACUUGUCAAAAACGGUGUUGCGUCGAUCUUGUGAGUCCGCACACCUUCGAAUGUAAAAUAUUUAAUUUUAUGUUUAUCUA